ACUCGUUUCAAGAUGAGAUCUGCCGGGGCCUUGAGCCCCCUAAAGAGUCGUUCAAGACCAGGACGUUGAUAGGUCAGGUGUGGAAGCGCAGUAAUGCGUUAAGCUAACUGAUACUAAUUGCUCGUGCGGCUUGACCCUAUAACUUUG
rnacentral:rRNA from 1 species